GACGAACGCUGGCGGCGUGCUUAACACAUGCAAGUCGAACGGAAAGGCCCUGCUUUUGUGGGGUGCUCGAGUGGCGAACGGGUGAGUAACACGUGAGUAACCUGCCCUUGACUUUGGGAUAACUUCAGGAAACUGGGGCUAAUACCGGAUAGGAGCUCCUGCUGCAUGGUGGGGGUUGGAAAGUUUCGGCGGUUGGGGAUGGACUCGCGGCUUAUCAGCUUGUUGGUGGGGUAGUGGCUUACCAAGGCUUUGACGGGUAGCCGGGCUGAGAGGGUGACCGGCCACAUUGGGAUUGAGAUACGGCCCAGACUCCUACGGGAGGCAGCAGUGGGGAAUAUUGCACAAUGGGCGGAAGCCUGAUGCAGCAACGCCGCGUGGGGGAUGACGGCCUUCGGGUUGUAAACCGCUUUCGCCUGUGACGAAGCGUGAGUGACGGUAAUGGGUAAAGAAGCACCGGCUAACUACGUG
rnacentral:rRNA from 1 species